rnacentral:rRNA from 1 species
GAAUAUUGCGCAAUGGCCGCAAGGCUGACGCAGCGACGCCGCGUGUGGGAUGAAGCUCUUCGGGGUGUAAACCACUGUUGCCCGGGACGAACUUCGGGCUUUAUCCCGAUUGACGGUACCGGGUGAGGCAGCACCGGCCCACUCCGUGCCAGCCGCCGCGGUAAUACGGAGGGUGCGAGCGUUGUCCGGAAUCACUGGGCGUAAAGGGCGCGUAGGCGGCUCGGCAAGUGUGUGGUGAAAGGCCGGGGCUUAACUCCGGGUCGGCCGUGCAAACUGCUGUGGCUUGAGGACUGUAGAGGCAGGUAGAAUUCCGGGUGUAGCGGUGGGAUGCGUAGAGAUCCGGAAGAACACCGGUGGCGAAGGCGGCCUGCUGGGCAGUUACUGACGCUGAGGCGCGACAGCGUGGGGAGCAAACAGG